rnacentral:rRNA from 1 species
GACGAACGCUGGCGGCGUGCCUAAUACAUGCAAGUAGAACGCUGAAGGAGGAGCUUGCUUCUCUGGAUGAGUUGCGAACGGGUGAGUAACGCGUAGGUAACCUGCCUGGUAGCGGGGGAUAACUAUUGGAAACGAUAGCUAAUACCGCAUAAUAGUUGAUGUCGCAUGACAUUUGCUUAAAAGGUGCAAUUGCAUCACUACCAGAUGGACCUGCGUUGUAUUAGCUAGUUGGUGAGGUAACGGCUCACCAAGGCAACGAUACAUAGCCGACCUGAGAGGGGGAUCGGCCACACUGGGACUGAGACACGGCCCAGACUCCUACGGGAGGCAGCAGGAGGGAAUCUUCGGCAAUGGACGGAAGUCUGACCGAGCAACGCCGCGGGAGUGAAGAAGGUUUUCGGAUCGUAAAGCUCUGUUGUAAGAGAAGAACGAGUGUGAGAGUGGAAAGUUCACACUGUGACGGUAUCUUACCAGAAAGGGACGGCUAACUACGUG